CUUGGUCAUUUAGAGGAAGUAAAAGUCGUAACAAGGUUUCCGUAGGUGAACCUGCGGAAGGAUCAUUAAUGAAAUCGAACGUUCGGGUUGUUGCUGGUCUCUCUCUCUCUCUCUCUUUGGAGAAGGGGGGGGGGUUAUAACGUGCACGCCUCGAUUGUUGUUGUUCCAUCUUUCUUUUACACCUGUGCACGAUCUGUAGUUAGGGAUGAUCACGGGGCCGGCUUUGUCGGCGUCGAAUGCCCUGGCUAUGAACGGUUUAUUAUACACCUUGAUUUUGUUUUCAUGGAAUGUUUGUCCGCGUCGUAAACGGCGCGAAUGAGAUACAACUUUCAGCAACGGAUCUCUUGGCUCUCGCAUCGAUGAAGAACGCAGCGAAAUGCGAUAAGUAAUGUGAAUUGCAGAAUUCAGUGAAUCAUCGAAUCUUUGAACGCACCUUGCGCCCCUUGGUAUUCCGAGGGGCAUGCCUGUUUGAGUGUCAUGAAAUUCUCAACUCGCUUCGGUUUUGUUUCGGAGUGAAGUUGGAUUUGGAGUGUUUGCUGGCCCUGUUCGGCUCCUCUCAAAAGCAUGUGUAGCUCUUUUUUCUUGGCGGGAAAGUAUCUUUGACGUGAUAAUAAUUGUCUACGUCGUGGAGAAAGCCUUGAAUGGGGGAGAGCAUGAAGGGCGAGACCCGACUUUUAUAUUCGACCUCAAAUCAGGCAGGACUACCCGCUGAACUUAAGCAUAUCAAUAAGCGGAGG
rnacentral:rRNA from 1 species